rnacentral:rRNA from 1 species
AUUGAACGCUGGCGGCAUGCUUUACACAUGCAAGUCGAACGGUAACAGGCCGCAAGGUGCUGACGAGUGGCGAACGGGCGAGUAAUGCAUCGGAACGUGCCCAGUCGUGGGGGAUAACUACUCGAAAGAGUAGCUAAUACCGCAUACGAUCUAUGGAUGAAAGCGGGGGACCGUAAGGCCUCGCGCGAUUGGAGCGGCCGAUGUCAGAUUAGGUAGUUGGUGGGGUAAAGGCUCACCAAGCCAACGAUCUGUAGCUGGUCUGAGAGGACGACCAGCCACACUGGGACUGAGACACGGCCCAGACUCCUACGGGAGGCAGCAGUGGGGAAUUUUGGACAAUGGGCGCAAGCCUGAUCCAGCAAUGCCGCGUGCAGGAAGAAGGCCUUCGGGUUGUAAGCUGCUUUUGUACGGAACGAAACGGCUCUGGUUAAUACCCGGGGCUAAUGACGGUACCGUAAGAAUAAGCACCGGCUAACUACGUG